rnacentral:rRNA from 1 species
UACGAAGGGGGCUAGCGUUGCUCGGAAUCACUGGGCGUAAAGGGUGCGUAGGCGGGUCUUUAAGUCCAGGGGUGAAAUCCUGGAGCUCAACUCCAGAACUGCCUUUGAUACUGAAGAUCUUGAGUGCGGGAGAGGUGAGUGGAACUGCGAGUGUAGAGGUGAAAUUCGUAGAUAUUCGCAAGAACACCAGUGGCGAAGGCGGCUCACUGGCC